GUCAUCAGGAACAGCAUUUAAAAUACAAUCAUUACUUACUGUACGUAAUCUUUAUUAAACUUUACAAUACCACUUUUAAGGGAACCAACAACUACAUAUCUGAAACGGAGGAUAAUAAAUGGAGAAAGCUUAAAGUCAUCAGGAACAGCAUUUAUUGGACAGGUUAUAAAGUUAUGGAAUAGUCCCCCGUGGGUGGGAGUUGACGGAAUAGAAGAUUACGUGGAAAAGUUGCUUCACAGCAUCUUUUUCUUAGGUCACAUUCAUGAGGACCGUCUUCUUCCAACUGACUUCUUGUCUCAAGCGGUGAUGGACGAAUUAAAAACAAGAUUUCAAAUGACAUUCCACAAUUACAUGUCUCCACCCCGUCAGACUCCAUUUUCUAUUCUUCUGACUUUGGCUGUCAGGUUUUGUGGUCAUGAGGACGAAGAUAUAAUACAAGAACAUCUUCUACGUUUCCUGGAAGCAUUGAAAUUGCCCCCCAAAAUAAAAGGCGAGAGUAACUACACUAACUACUACACUCUGGAGGCUACUGUCAUAGCUGUGUGCUACAACGAAACCCCUGGAGCCCUCAGACCAGAGAAGUACUAUGGAGCAUCCCUGUCCUGCAGAGGGGAGAGAGCAAGGAGAAUUAUGAUCAAUCAGUCAUGUCUAAACGUGUGGCAUGACUAUGUGUCUUAUGCAGUGUUGUCAUUCAGACAUGAUGAACAGGGAAACGGUAUCAUCUUCCCUGGCACCGUAAAAUGCAGAGCAUUCUACAGGAAUCACCAGGCCAAUCGUUAUGAAGACCGAAGGCCGUGCAAUAACUGUGGGGAUCUUUUCUCUCUCGCAAACCCUGAGACGGACAGAAAUGACUUUCCCUACGGAAACUGUGCCGAAACGGAGUGCCUGAGUAAACUUCUUUUCAAAGAUGAGGAUGUCAGGAGCAAUAUGAUUUUGGGAAUCUCCUACACAAGGGAAAACCUGAGAGGUCUUAAAGAAAAGGCAGCAAAAGCUUUGGAACAGAGUCUUAUGGCAUAGGUCUACUUAGCACCUCUGAACAGUGUGCAUUUGGCCGUCAUUUUCAAACCAACUGCAAACUGUGACUGUGUAAACUUCUAUUAUGUGAUCAGGAUGUCUGCAGCAAUAUGAGUUUUGUACACUACACAAGAGAAAAUGUCUUAGAAAAAUGACAGAAAAUGCUUUUGAACAUUUAGGUUUUGUUUCACACAGGUUUUAUACGUGGUGUUUUUGCUGUGUUUGACUUGGAAGUUUCCUCUGAAACUACAAGAACAAUGGUGUUCUUUAAUCACUCAACUGUGAUUAAGGCAACUGUGCCAGAGUCAUAAUGCACAAGUAAAUGGUUUCUGUCACUGAGAGUUGUGAAUUACAGCUCGGACAAACAAUAAAAUUAUUACCACUAAUAAGUAACAGACAUAAAAAGCAGCCACCUUGGGAAUACAGUUGUUUUACUUUUUGGUUUGGUCUUUGUGUUUGGUUGUUUACAUUUUAUUUAUUUAUUUUGGGGGGAUGUUUAAUUGUAAUAAGCUAUAAACUUUGACCCUUGUCAAAUAGUCUGCCAUGUGCUUUGUGUCACAGUGGAAAAUGAAUGAAAUGAAAAUGAACACAUUUCUGAUGUGACAGGAAACGGCAGAAAGGCGGUGACACUGAACUUGUUUGAAUGUAUUCAGUGAAACCCCAGCUAAAAGAGUGGACUAAAACAACAGACAGCACCAUGAAUAUCUAACAUUGUGUUUCUUUAUGACACAAACUUAUCUUGUAAAUAUUUUGAAUCCAUCAAUAAAUGAGAAUUGUUAAAAGUU